rnacentral:rRNA from 1 species
AGGGCACCACCAGGAGUGGAGCCUGCGGCUUAAUUUGACUCAACACGGGAAAACUCACCUGGCCCGGACACCGUGAGGAUUGACAGAUUGAGAGCUCUUUCUUGAUUCGGUGGUUGGUGGUGCAUGGCCGUUCUUAGUUGGUGGAGUGAUUUGUCUGGUUUAUUCCGAUAACGAGCGAGACUCUAGCCCACUAAAUAGUUACUGGAUAAUUGCGUCCAGAAGACUUCUUAGAGGGACAAGCGGUGUUCAGCCGCACGAAGCUGAGCAAUAACAGGUCUGUGAUGCCCUUAGAUGUCCAGGGCUGCACGCGCGCUACACUGGAGGAAUCAGCGUGCUGUAACCAUUGCCGAAAGGCAUUGGUAACCCCUUGAAAAUCCUCCGUGAUCGGGAUCGGGAAUUGCAAUUAUUUCCCUUGAACGAGGAAUUCCUAGUAAGUGUGAGUCAUCAGCUCACGUUGAUUACGUCCCUGCCCUUUGUACACACCGCCCGUCGCUGCCCGGGACUGAGCCGUUUCGAGAA